rnacentral:rRNA from 1 species
AUGGAAACCGUCACCGACCAGCAAGAUGUGCCUGGGCCCAAAAAGGGUAGCCCCUUAAUGACGGACGUGGAGGUGGAGGAGAUAGCUGAAGUCGAGGGUGUUGUUGAUGACAUAAAAGGUGUUGAUAAAAUAGAGCCUUGUGAAGAACAGAGGAUACAAUACAGAAAGGAUGUUGCCUCACACAUGACAGUAGCUGCACGGCCUAUCAACGAUGUUCCCUCCCCAACAACGCCUUUGCUUGAGAAAAGUUGUUCUCUUGUUGAAAUGAGAGGGAUAAGGCACUGUGGUUGUGAUUGUUAUGCUGGGAACGAUGUUCCUCAUGGUCCCAGUAAUGCGGAUAACAAGUAG